ensembl:lncRNA
CUGCGGACGGCUGCUGGUUUCGGGGGGCAGCCGAGCGUUUCGCGCCCUUCGGGGGGAACGUGGAGGGGAGGAUACCGGGAAACUUGGUGUGUGACUUUGUUCUCUCCGCAGCAACCCAAAGCGAGUAAUUCGGUGGUAUUUUCACAGUAUCGACAUAGGCGGCAGAAAAUGCGGGAGCUUGUUGUGGAUGUUGCAGUGGAGUGUUCAUGGGGAAAGUUGCUUUUCACAGGAAAUGAAGAAGCUGGGGAGCCAACAGGAUGUUUGAUUAUCAUGAAUGACAUAUACAUGCUAAAAGGAAUAGACCAUGGAAGUUGGAUGAAAUUAAGCUGAGAAUUAAAAUAACCAACUGUUCUUCGUGUGGUGGUAUUGGCUUCCAGAAGUGGCAACAGUGAGAAACUUGGUAAGUUUUGCUUUGUGUCCAGAACAGAAAAUUACACAUCAUUCACCCUUAAAACUGUUGUGACAAAUGAUAUUUGUUAGGGCUUCCACCGGUGCCUGCUAGUGGUACUGUUACAGAAUUUUGCACAGAGGUAAGGCACUGCUGUGGCAGAAACACUUCUUGAGAUUAAAUGGUCAUUGCCACUGUGAUAAAAACAAGCCUUGGAAGUGUGACUUUUCAAAGUCUGCUCACCCACUUCACCUCAAAUUUAUUUUUUAUGGUUGUCUUUCUUUUUCCUGAGUACCAGAGAACUAGGUCGCUCACAUAACACCUCAGCAGGCUGGAACUUCAGCUCAUGCGUGAUUCAUUAAAGAUGCCAGAGUGCCAUCUCCAUAGGACAGCAAUAUCACCUUGUUUCAUUGCGGUUACACUGCAUGUGCUCAUCCUCACUAACCUGUGGAACUGGUGCAUUUAUCAUUGGAUGCUUCUCCCAUGAGAUUUGAACACCCAGAACAGCAGUUAGCUGCUUCUCUCUCUCAUUCACUGAUGAGAGAUCUUGAGUAUGCUCAGUCUCUACUGAUCUCAGAUCCUCAUCUGUUCACUUUGGGCCUUAGCAAAGACACAACUGAUGUCUAGGUCUCUCUGUACAGCCUGUAUUGUACUUUCAUAACAGUAAAAGUUACAGUAAGGGGGGAAAAAAAAGGGGAAAAUGAUUAUGGCAGAUAAUCCAGUCAAAUUUUGAUCCAGAAGUUCACUGUUCCCAGUAAUGCGUAACCUUGAGAAAAUACCUUGGGUAAGGGAAUGUUGACAGAGAUAAGUAAAAGGAUGAUUUUUAUGUUUUGAUGAAGAGUACAUAAGAAGAGGAAUGUUAGGUCUUUAGACUUGGAAGCUUUGUUCAUUGUGCAGCCUGAUGAAAUAAAAUCAUAACAAAUCCAACCCAAAUGCCCUUGGAGUGUCUGAUCUUCCCAGCUGAUUUGUCUAAGGAUAUCAGAAAUUAACAUCAAGAAACGUAGAUAUGAAUUGACAGAUUAAACAUUCAAGACUUUUGCAGAACAGGUUAUUUGUUUUUUUUAGUAUGAGAUAUUUCCAAAAAUAGAGUUUAAUCUGGAUGCAUCAUGAUGAUAAACUGAAAAAGAUGAAGAUAAUGUUUAUUUUAAUUGACCUAAUUUUAUUUAAUAGCACAGUUACUUCUAAGCUUUGGCCAUCCUUCGGAUGGAACAUUUUAUAGAUACUUUUACUUCUGGCCUGCUGAAUUGUCAUGUUCCAAUCUUAUUGUCCAGUACUUUCAUCAGGAGUUUUUGUCUUAAUAUGUAGAACCUACACAACAAUAUAUGAUGAGCAAGUUUUCAAGGUUAUAGGUUAUGAGAUCCCUUUUCUAGUGUAAGGAGAUGUGGGCUGCCAUUAUUAUUUUGCCUAAGAUUCUUCUGACUUCUUGAUACCAAGCUGGAGAGAAUCUUCUGACUUAAUAUUUUGUAAUAGGUAUCAGGAAACCUGUUUCUAAACUUGAGUACAUCUAAGAAAGGUCACCUUCAGUUAGCUCCAAAUCAGGGAAACUACUAAAUGUUGGUGCUACCAUCUUCAUCCUUAAUGGGAGUUGAUAAAUUAUAUAAGCAAGCCAGGAGCUACCUGAGGUUCUUCAAGCUUCAGGAAGUGGUCUUUCUUUUCAGGUGCCUCUUGUUCUCCUAGUUAUGCACUUUUUUUUUACUGUGUCUGUGUAUAGAUAAUGUGUAUCUGUUGUAUCUGUAAUGUGUAAAUAUAUGCACAUGGGAAUGAUACUAAUGCACAAAACCUAAUGUCUCUUUACAGUAUAUGGCUGAGAAUAGGAUGGCUAGAAAAAUGCUUUCCUGUGUAGUAUCUGCUACAAAUAUCAGGAAAUGGAGGAAAAUCAGAAAAUCAGGAAAGAAUCACUUGCUAAACAGAGUGUAUGGGAACUGUUGAGUCAUGGCCUGAACCACUGAUGGAGCACCUAGGGAAAAGACCUCGUCUGCAAGAACUUUUAAGUUAAGUUCAUGUCAUUAGAGGUAUAAAUACAAUAUUAGGAAGUAAAUAACGAUCUUUAUUUGAUCAAAUACAAAGUUUACAGAAUGUUAAUAGGAUGACUGUUACAAUGUGUGUUAAGUGAGAUAAGAAAGUUGGUGACAGAACUUACUUUAUGCUUCAUAUAAACUGCUCUGGGAAAGAUGCUAGCUAGCUGUUGCUAUGUUUGAACAGUUGGUGGCUCCAAUGCUUUGCAGCUGUCGCUAUACAAGUCGCCAAAACAAGUUAAUUCAGUUCUAGCUGUGUAUAUUGAUCUAGUUAGAAAUCUAAAAUCAGAAUCACAGACCUACUAAAUAAACACUCCCAACUUUAAGUCAUUUUGUAAAUACUUAAUAGUUAAAUAAGCAUGAAUUUCAAUAUCCUGUCAAGCUUAUGAUAAUUUAAGAGGCCACCUUGCAAAACGGCUGUUCAGAAUCGGUAGCUAUGUUCCUACAGCCAGCAUAGCUAGCAAGACUGCUUCUACUCCAUAUUGCAGGAUUGUACAGGUGAGACAGAUGACAGAUACCAUGACUGAAAGGGAGGCAGGGGGGAGUUGUCAAAAGGUCAGUUCCUGGGAAAGAUGCAAAGAAAAUCGUAUUUACUGUGCAGUCAUUCCUUAAAUUGAGCCUCACAAAUGUUUAUAUGCUUUAAAAACAUGUUUAAAAUAAGGGGUUUAGUGGGCAGUGGGUUUUGAGAGAGCAAGAUUAUAGCAACAGAAGAGCUGAUGAUGGUGAGCUGUCAUUUUUGGUGGCUGCAAGAACUAUUAAUAAAAGGAGAGGUUAGAUAUAAUAAAUAACUUUGUAUAAUGUAUUAGUUCAGAAUUUUGAAGAAAGCUUUGACUUAAAAAAUAUUUAAAUAGAAAUAGAAAUUUCCAUGGAUGCAUAUACAUACUUUUCUAAUGUGUUUUUUUUGCUUGUUUUUAAUUCUUGGUUCCAGAAAAUGUCAUUGGAGCAAUGGAACAUUCCUCCCUGAGUUUUCAUAUUCCGGGAAAAAUAAAGUGUAGAAUUAUUUUGUUGGGAAACUAGUUCAUGUAUUUUAACUGAAAUAUAAAUAUUAUGCCAUCCUAAACUAUUGUAUGUACUACAUAUUCUAAUUUUCCUUUGUCUUGUUUCUCAUUUGGAUUAUAUUAUUGUGUUCCCUUCUUUAAACUUCGGUAUCUUCUCAUGGGAACAGGACUGCAGGACAAUCAUGAGGACUGCAAACUUCAGAUAGGGUUUAGCUCUCACAGCUAAACUGGGGUAGAUAACAACUUGAAAAGAUGUAGGCCUGUUGUUAGAUUUGGCCUGGUUUGGCCUAUUACUUGACAAGGGGGUGAAGGGACCCAUGGACCCCCACCCUGGGAAAGGGAGGGGAAGGGAAAAGGUAGGAAAAUGGGCCUGGAUGAAUGAUAAUGGCAGCAAUGGCCUAAGGAAAAACUUGAUUUAUUAAAUACAGUAAUGGAAUGUGAGAUAACGCAAUGUAGUACAGUAUGAUUGGAAUUGAAGUUAAUAAAUCAAAUGAAAUGAGAGUUUCUGAAACCGAAGUCCAUACUGUAGGCAAAACUGCCAAGGAGCAAAGAGAAAGGUCUCAUGAGUCCCAGUCAGUUUUCUCUUACCCUCCAAAUGAAAAUGGAAAAAUGAAGGCUUCUGGGAGUUGUAGUUCAGCUCAGUAUUCUCUUCUGAGACGAGGAGACUGGAAAUACCAACAGUGCACAGAAUUGCAACAUCAACUCUUUAACUCCCAGUGCGCUACAUGAUGUUGUAGUGGAAUACUGAUCCACUGAUGUGAAAAACCAUCAAACCAUGGCACCAGUGAAAUCAUGAAUGCAGUGACCUAGGUCUAUGUCAGUGCAGUCUGUAGCAUUUAUUUUUCUAACUUUGUAUGAUUAAAUAUUAUGCACUGAUGAAAUUCUGUUGGGGCAAAGGUUGGGGUUGUUGCAGUGGGGGACAUCAGUUGCCACAUGCAAAUGAAAUUCCUUAGGAAGACCUGUUUUUUAAUUUCUUCUGUCUCCUGGAGGAGACAAAAAACAUAGAAACAAAAAUAUAGAAACAGCCCUGCUGAGCAGGAUUUGUUUAUACAUCACCCAAAAAUGGAGACAUUAUAUCUUAGUAAUAUUUCAUCAGACAAUAUACUCUAGCAAAAUGACACCAAGGAAAAUGUACCAUUCAACACAUGCUCACUUUUUUUUUUUGCUUUUAACAUUAAGAUUUAUAUAUAUUUUGUAUAGAUACAUAUUUUGAAGUCAUCCAGGAAUUGCACUGGCAGAGAAGGCUGGAAUACUUUUACAGGAGUACUAUUUACAGGAAUCGUGGAGACCUUCUAAGGUCUUUCCAGGUUUUGUUUGUGUUUUUUUUUUUUGUCCUUGCUAUUUCUAAGAAGCACACAUAAAUUCUGCUGAAACUUGAGCUUAAGCUUACAUGCCUGCAUUGUCUUUACAGUGCUCUGAAACACAAAGUGAUUAACAGUAGGCCAAACUCUCGAAGUGUUUACAUGCUGUAAUAUCUAAUUCCUGUUUGUACAAUGGCUUUGUAAGAGCCAAAGUAGAUAUUUGCUCACAUGUAAUAAAUAGCUUCCAUGAAAUGUAUGUUAAUGCUAUUGGCAAGCUAGGAAAUAAAUGCAGUUUUCGGAGAUGGUCUCUCAGGGUAUGCCUUGAGCUAGUCAGCUUACUAGCUGGGCGCAAUUCCAGCUCAUAAAAGACUUUGUUCCUAUGUUAGAAGCAAAUACAGUUUUUUUGUGUGGCAGUAAAUUGUGGUGUAAGAGUUGGUGGUACCUACGUAUCUCUGUAGGUAUGAUGUAUUUAUUUAAUAAGGAGGACCAAGGCCUAUCUCUAUACAUUAGUUUCAUUUAUUCACUAUGAAGUAGGGUAGUGUACUAGAAGUACAACCCAGGAAGCAGUUCACGGGCAGCAGAAUCAUGAAACCUAGUUGUACUGCAGAUGGUUUUGUUAUCCAAAGUAAUCCAACUUCCACUUGAGGCUUUUUAUGUAACUGAGGUGUUUCUGAUAUCCCAUACCUGUAACACCAAGGAAGUACCCGUUAACAAGUUAUUAGAGGCAGAUGGACAUUAACAUAAUUACGCAGUGUGAUUUUUAUGAAGCAUAAGGUUGGAAAUUGAUUUCUAGUGUUGUGAAUUUCAUUACCAAGUUCAUAAACGAUCUGUGUAGUGGUGCAAAUUGCUUAAUUUAUAAGGAGAGCACGUGAGGUAGUUAGGGAGGCUCACAGACUUUCAGUAGAAAGUUAGAGCUCUAUUUUGUUUGUUUAUAGUGUAGAAUGAGGUCUGUGCUAGCAGGUUAAGACAAAAUACUUCUUCAUCAGUAGGAGAAGACUGGCAUCCAGUUUUGACAUCUAGUACCUCAACUUGGUGAAAUUCUGCUCCCUCUCAGCCCAGUUGCUCCAGCUGUUACAGUACAUGUUGGGAUAACCUCAUAAAGACUUUGUGAAGCCCUGUCACUUUGCAAAUGCACUAAUAUCCUGCAUGUUCCCUCAGGAGAGAUGUGGAAAGUUUGAAUUAUUCAAACAAAUGCUCAUCUUGAAUGUGUUAGUGGUAUUAAAAUAAAUCAGGAUGUUUGCACCUGUUUUCUUUGAUACUUCCCUACUUGUGACCAAAUUAUUGCACUUUGGGCUGAACUUGAGAUUUAGUAGGUUCACUUCUAUGGAUUCAGGUGGGACCUUGCGAUGGGGUAUGUCACCUACUCAGCACUGGUAGGGUGUAGCUACUAAAUUUCUGCUUCUGAACAGAUGUCUUUGAGAGUCAGCAUUGAUGGAAACUUAAGCCUUUAAUGACUUCUAGCUGCCUAGAUUUGCCCCAAUUUUGAAUUACUGAAUUCUGAUUCAGUGCUAGUGAAUCAUUCCCCUUUAACUGCCUAACUUAGAUUUCAUGAAUGUGGAAUUAAGACUCUAAAUUAGAAGAAAUAGAGUUGAGAUCCCUCUGAGCAAAACUCAGUGCAGAACGAAACUUGGAAUCAUCACAGAAUCAUAGAAUCACCAGGGUUGGAAAAGACCCACAGGAUUACCCUGUCCAACCAUCCGCCCAUUACCAAUAGUUCUCACUAAACUAUGUCCCUCAACACAGUGUCCAAAUGUUCCUUCAACACCUCCAGGGUCAGUGACUCCACCACCUCCCUGGGCAGCCCAUUCCAGUGCCUGACCACCCUUUCAGAGAAGUAGUAUUUCCUAACGUCCAGCCUGAUUUUUCCCUGGUGCAGCUUGAAGCCAUUCCCUCUAGUCCUAUCACUAGUCACACGAGAGAAGAGGCUGGCCCCCAGUUCUCUUCAGGUAGUUAUAGAGAGCAAUAAAUUAUCCCCUGAGCCUCCUCUUCUCUAGACUGAACAAUCCCAGUUCCUUCAACUGCUCCUCAUUAGGCCUGCGCUCCAGACCCCUCACCAGCUUUGUUGCCCUUUGAACGUGCUUCAGGGCCUCGAUGUCUUUCUUACAGUGAGGGGCCCAAAAGUGGACACAGAUUCUCAAGCUGUCAUAGAAUAACUUUUCUUCUAUGUACUCUAGACCAUACUUUCUUGGAAAAACGUGAGCUGAGGGUUGUACCUGUGUGGAUAGAAACAUUUAUUUAUUUAUUUAUUUAUUCCUGAGAAGACUGAAGUAAUGUUAUAGGCAAACUAACUUCCAAUUCUGCUGGUACAGCAAGGUAUACAGCAUGGUAGAUGUAUACUAAGGACUACAGAGACUUGAGGAAAGACCUUUUUAUCUUUGGGCAUUGGUUUGUAGAGUACGUAUGAUUAGUAGAGGGGUGCACUAUGGUAAAAUAGGAUCUGAAGUAGUGAAGAGUGCUGUAACUUGGGUUUUAUUGUCUUAUGAAAUGUUCUGGGAGGCCUAUUUUUAAAAAUAUUGUUAAUGUUUUACUCUAAGUGCAGCUUUAAGUAGAAUGGAUUUAGCUUUACCUUAUUUACCUUACAAUUUGUGUAGGUAAGGUUUAUGCACAGUUAACAGUCUUGUGAUUCACUGUUGUUUAAAAUUUACUGAAUGUACAAUGUAAGAUUAUUUUUUUUGUUACUGUUGCGGAUUGCUCCUUUUUGCAUGUUUUGGUCCUCUUCUCAUUCCACUUGGGAAAAAGAGGGUGUGCUAACAUCUGUUAUAAUACACACUCUUUGUUCAGUUGCAGGAAGUUGAAGG